ensembl:snRNA U6 U6 spliceosomal RNA
GUGCUCGCUUCGGCAGCACAUAUACAAAAAUUAGAAUGAUACAGAGAAGAUUAGUAUGGCCCUUGUGCAAGGGUGACACGCAAAUUCGUGAAGUGUUCCAUAUAAAA